UCCCGGUUGGCCCGGGCAGUUUCGUCUGAAAAAUACAACAAACGACAAGGGUUGCGCUCGUUGCGGGACUUAACCCAACAUCUCACGACACGAGCUGACGACGGCCAUGCAGCACCUGUCACUAGAUUCCCGAAGGCACUCCUCUGUUUCCAGAGGAUUCCUAGGAUGUCAAGCCUCGGUAAGGUUCUUCGCGUUGCGUCGAAUUAAACCACAUGCUCCACUGCUUGUGCGGGUCCCCGUCAAUUCCUUUGAGUUUUAAGCUUGCGCUCGUACUCCCCAGGCGGGGUGCUUAUCGCGUUAGCUUCUCAGCCCAAGGGGUCGAUACCUCAGACUAAUAGCACCCAUCGUUUACGGCGUGGACUAC
rnacentral:misc_RNA from 1 species